UACGGGGGGGGCAAGCGUUGUUCGGAAUUACUGGGCGUAAAGGGCUCGUAGGCGGCCAACUAAGUCGGAUGUGAAAUCCCCAGGCUUAACCUGGGAACUGCAUCCGAUACUGGAUGGCUUGAAUCCGGGAGAGGGAUGCAGGAUUCCAGGUGUAGCGGUGAAAUGCGUAGAGAUCCGGAAGAACACCGGUGGCGAAGGCGGCCUGCUGGGCAGUGGCUGACGCUGAGGCGCGACAGCGUGGGGAGCAAACAGG
rnacentral:rRNA from 1 species